GUUUCUUGAAUCUGAUGCCACGUAAGGUCUGGAUGUGCAGAUCCUCUACUUCGCACGCAUGCCAGACUGCAUAGGAAAGUAGAAUGAGCCUCGAGGCAUUAAUCUCUCAAAAGGGGAGCAAGGGAUGGUGGGGAUCAGAUCUCCACACACCUGGAAGGGACUCUUCAUACCAAGAAAAGAGAGCACCAAAGAACCCAUGCAAAACCC
rnacentral:lncRNA from 1 species